UCCAUCUUCUCAAAAAUCCUGCCCUGUUGGGAGAGGGAGAACAAACGGGGUGAGCUGAGGGGAGGCCGCGCGAGGACGGCCCUGAGGGGGCACCCGGUGAGCGGGAACCGCGUGAGGAGCAGCUGGACUGAUAAAGAGUCUGGUAUUGAAUACGGAAUUCAUGGAUUGUGGAUGACAACAGUGAGUGCUCAGAAACUGGAGCUGAGUCCUGGAUGAAGUUCUAGGCUAUGACGGAGAGCCAGCGAAUGUGGAGAUUAAAUUAUCCCUUGCAACCGAUCUGCAGCCACGACAUUCGCUUCCUGCAUUGUGGGCAUGCUUUACGUAGUUUGGAAUACGUGCCUUUAACAAGGACAUUCAGAAAAGAAAAUGGGAGCAAGGGAGGGGUGGGGGGAAAAGAUAAGUAAUGCAAAAGUAAAUGCAUCAGUCCUAUUUUGUUGUUAGAUUAUUUGGGGCUUGAAGCAACCUGGGCUAGACCAGGAGCCCCUGCCCACGGCAGGGCGUUGGGAUGAGAUCAGCUUUAAUGUUCCUUCCAACCCAAACCACUCCAUGAUUCUAGGGUUCUGUUCAACCACAAGAACAAGAUUUUCAGCAUACCCAUAUGUUUGAUAAACAUAAGAAAACUCUUUAAAGUAUUUUCCCCAUUGUAAUUUAAACUAAGCUGUCAAUAGAGUAUUUCUGUUGGGAACAGUUGCAGUUCUAAAAAUCA